UUUACUGUGGCAAAACUUCAUUUGUUUAUAAUUUUUAUGACCUUGCUAUAGUUGAUUUUCAGGUUCAAGCCGUCGCAUGGAAUCAUCAUGUGCCACAAGUUUCACUUAGUGGAUCCUUUGAUCAUACAGUAGUCAUGAAGGAUGGAAGGAUACCUUCUCAUACAGGAUUUAAGUGGUCAGUUUCAGCAGAUGUCGAAACUGUAGCAUGGGAUCCACAUACUGAGCAUUCAUUUGUGGUCAGUCUUGAAGAUGGUACAGUUGAAGGUUUUGAUAUCCGAGCUACUAAGUUUGAUCAAUCUUUUGACUCAAAGACAAGUUUCACUCUUCAUGCACACGAUAAAGCUGUUUGCAUAGUCU